rnacentral:rRNA from 1 species
GACGAACGCUGGCGGCGUGCCUAACACAUGCAAGUCGAGCGGAGAACGACGAGCAGCUUGCUGCAAGUUGUCUUAGCGGCGGACGGGUGAGUAACGCGUGGGCAAUCUGCCUCAAACAGGGGGAUAACACAGGGAAACUUGUGCUAAUACCGCAUAAAACCACAACAUGGCAUCAUGAAGUGGUCAAAGGAAGAAAUUCCGGUUGAGAUGAGCCCGCGUCUGAUUAGCUAGUUGGUGAGGUAACGGCUCACCAAGGCGACGAUCAGUAGCCGAACUGAGAGGUUGAUCGGCCACAUUGGGACUGAGACACGGCCCAGACUCCUACGGGAGGCAGCAGUGGGGAAUAUUGCACAAUGGGGGAAACCCUGAUGCAGCGACGCCGCGUGAAGGAAGAAGGCCUUCGGGUUGUAAACUUCUUUGACCAGGGACGAAAAAAUGACGGUACCUGGAGAACAAGCCACGGCUAACUACGUG